AUGAAUAUGUACACCCGCAGCGCCUCCUUCACUCCGAAGACUUUCACUUUCCCCCUUGCACAAAACCGAACAUCCCACCCCACCACCACCUCCAAGCUAAAAUACCUGGGCCGCCCCUCCCCACGAAGGGACGCGCUCCAGGCGAAUGGGGAGGGCCCGGAAGUCGGGUCCGUGACAGAGAAGCCGGCCCACCGCCUCCCGGUCGGAAGCGGCAGUGCAGGUGAGGCGGCGGCCAGCCUGGGGACCGCGCGGGUAAGGAGCGGGAGGGCGGACUGCACCGCGAGGUUGGCGGGGGACGGCCAUGCACGCCUCGCCUCGGCCUUCCUGCACCGUAGGGGCUGGCAGCCCUCCCGCCACCCCUGGGCACCUGUCGACCACGUCUGGGCGAGGGCGGGUCGGCUCCCGCCCUCGGGCCCUCACCCUACCCCGGCCAGCCGCGGUGGGGACGCCGGGUCAGCGAAGGGUUAAGGGACUCGCUCCCUCCUCUCGGCUCCCUCACCCUUGGAAAGUCCCCGAAAUGACGUUUCAACCCGACAAUUUAAAAAAGAGUUUAAUUAUAGAGACAGGCUCUGGGAGCUGGAACAAACCCUCGGUCGGCGGGGCCGGUAAACAACUCGGGAGCGAGCGGGCUGGGCCAGCCGCAGCCUUGCGGAGCCCGCGCCCCCGGGGAGAGGGGGAGGGGAGGGCCUCUGGGAGUUGGAAAAGCCGAGGAAAUUCGAGGAAUCAGCUUUCUUUGGAAAAACCCACUUUGUAGCCAUUGUGGGGCGCCUGAUGGUGCUCCUGGCCGGUUCCGCAGCCUUGGAGGGAAAGCGGCGCUGCCCGAAGCAGGGGCACAGCCGGUGCCCCGCGGGGACAGGCCCUGGGCCGGGAAGGGGGCCCCGCCCGCUCCCUGUCCCCUUCCCCUUUGCUUUUUUCCAGCCCCUCCUCCGGUCCCCCCAGCUGAGCUUCGCGAACCCUCGGGAGUUAAAGACCAGCCGGCCCCUUUUUUGGGGGGGUGGGAGGGUGGGGGAGCGGGAAUGGGUGGAGGCCGGGGGAAUAAAAAACCGAAAUAGCUUCACAUCAGAACUCAGACUAACCUUGUGGUUUCAACGCGCACCCUGCUCUGUUCUGAAAUCUGGAACUCAUUACCUCAUCACCAAGAAACUGCACGAAAUCUUCCCCGCCCCCCCCCCGCCCCAACACCCACUUGGGAAAG